GUCUGUAGAGUCAGGUGACAAUACCAAGGGAGUUAAUUCAAAAGUUGGUGAAGAUGUUUCUGAAGCAAAUCUUGAGAAGCGCGAACUUAAAGCAGCAACUUAUGCCGAUAAAGUAAAAUCUGGACCAAAUAAUGCUAUCACUAGCAAUAAUGUUCACGAUGAAUCUGCUUCCAAGCCAAGCGAGCUUCACCGGGGUGAUGCAGCUGCAAGUAGAACAGAGGAAAAUAAAGUUAUGGGGAAAAUACAGCUGCUAGAUGAGAGCGAGCCUCACGUUGGAGCAGUGGCCACAGGGAAGCCAUCUGUUACCACUGGCUCUCCUGAUCACAGAGACAUUCUUAUUGACAUUAAUGACCACUUUCCCCGAGAGUUCCUCUCUGAUAUUUUCUCUAGAGCUAAAAUAUUUGGUGAUGCAUCAGUGUCUGCUCCACUGCGUGCUGAUGGAACUGGUUUGAGUUUGAAUAUGGAGAACCAUGAACCAAAGCACUGGUCCUUUUUUCAAAAGUUAGCCCAAGAUGAUUUUGUCAGAAAAGAUGUCUCUCUGAUAGACCAGGAUCAUCUUAGUCUCUCUUCCACCCGUGCAAAUGGUGAGGAUGGAGCAUCCAUGGAUUAUGGUUAUCCUCCUUUUAACGACAGUGCUAUGAUAGACCAUAUGAACUCCCAGAUGAAUAUUGAAGCUGAUAUGCAGCAUCUAUCACGCGACAAUGUUGGUGCUAUGAUAGACCAUAUGAACUCCCGGAUGAAUAUUGAAGCUGAUAUGCAGCAUCUAUCACGCGACAAUGUUGGACCAAACACCAUGAAUGUGCCUUCAGAAUACGAUCCUUCUCAAACCACUGGCAUCCAAAGCAUGCAGUAUGAUGGUGCAAUGAAUUCAAAAGUAGCCAAAUCGGAUUAUCAGGUGUUCCUUUUAAGUUGUUGACACUUCAAGCUGCAUAAUUCUGCUUCAGGUUAUAUUCUCAUUUUUUAACUCGUACAAAUGUGAUUGAAAAAACCCUUUAAUUUAACAUGAAGGAUGGGAACCAAGAAGUUCAGAAUACUGGUUUUCCACUCAUUGAUCUCUCUAUGGGAGACGUCGAUCUGAGCUCAUUGCAGGUAUUGUGGACUUAAACCCUCAUAAACAUCAAUACAUCUGGCAUAUCUUGAAGUAUGUAUUCUAUAUGAUGGUUGAGUGAAUGAGUGAUGCAGGCUACCUAAAGUAGCACCCGUAGGUCACUGCCAAUAACAUUCUUUCAUAGAAAAUGUAUGGAAAAAUUCAAGUUCUGGUUUUCUGCCUGAAUAUCCAUAUAAUGACAAUAGUUAGACGUGAGCGCUGAGAAAUUUGUGGAUUAUUGGUUUUUCAUUGACCUUUUUUAUUAAAAAAAAAGCUCUGUUAGAGCUCUAGAUAUCUUUAGUUCUUGAUUUUUAUCUGCUACUUCAUUGCUUUGCUUGGAGAGGACAAGACUUUUGGUUCAUAUGUGUGGCUUGUUCUUUUCUGUGUCUUGAAUUUAUGCAUCUGAUGGAGAUAUGGAGAGAUUGUUUCCAACUUGUUGCUUUAAUUGGGGGGGGGGGGCAUUUUGUUCAUAUGCAUGGCUUGCUCUUCUGGGUCUUCUGUUGAUACGUCUGAUGUAGAUAUUGAGAUUGUUUUUAUGUUUACCAAUCAAGAAUACAUUAAAAAUGGGCCGGAUUUUUAUUACGUGAUUUGCAUGUUUAAACUAGCUAGACAAAUUAGAAAUCAUUUUAUUUAGGCAUGUAAUAAGUACACGCAGCUGUGUUUGAGUCAUUUUUUUAGUUAACCUGUUUUAUUUGCCUCGCAGAUUAUCAAGAAUGAAGAUCUCGAGGAGUUAAGGGAAUUGGGUUCUGGAACAUUUGGAACUGUUUAUCAUGGAAAAUGGAGAGGAACUGAUGUUGCCAUAAAGAGAAUAAAGAAAAGCUGUUUCACAGGUCGCUCGUCCGAGCAGGAGAGAUUGGUGAGUCUUUGGAGUUGUAUAAUUACAUCUGUCACAAUAAAAUUAACCGGUUCCUGGUUCAUCAGUCCGAGCAGGAGAGAUUGGUGAGCGUCUUUGGAGUUGUAUAAUUACAUCUGCCACAAUAAAAUUAACCGGUUCCUGGUUCAUCAGCUUGAAUCCAAAUAUGUAGAUUUAGACCUAAUAGAAACAAAGUUGUUUGAGCGUGUUUCCCCUUCCUUUGUUAUUCUUCAACUGUAACUUUGUGCUGCUCUGCUUGCUGUUUUUGUUGUUCCAUCUUUACAAACUCAAACAAUCGUCCAAAAUACAUCUUGAACACUUUCAACUAUUUUUAUAGCAGUACAAAGCAAAUUCCAUCACAGUUCAGACAUCUAGUCCUGCUUUAAUCAAAUCUAAAUCAGUAGAAGCUUAUCAGUUCAUAUAUUUGUCAUGCUUUGAGGUUUCUUUAUGCAAGCAUUUUGACAAUGGAACCCUUUAUCUAUUUCCAGACUCUAGAUUUUUGGCGUGAAGCUGAUAUUCUUUCAAAGCUUCAUCACCCAAAUGUGGUGGCAUUUUAUGGUGUAGUGCAAGAUGGGCCAGGGGGAACUCUUGCCACAGUAACAGAAUUCAUGGUGAAUGGGUCUCUGAGACAUGUUUUGCUUUGCAAGGACAGGUGUUAUUUCAAACCCUUUUAACCCCUCCUAUUAUUUUGUCUUAUACAUUCCUCUGUAUCCCUUGACAAACCUUCGUACUUUCUGCCAAUCCUGACUUGCUAGACACCUAGAUCGUCGCAAGAAGCUCAUAAUUGCAAUGGAUGCUGCAUUCGGAAUGGAAUAUCUGCAUUCAAAGAAUAUCGUACAUUUUGAUUUGAAAUGUGACAACUUGCUUGUCAACUUAAAAGAUCCUUCUCGACCCAUCUGUAAGGUGUGUACAAGUAUAUCGUACACUUUGAUUUGAAAUGUGACAACUUGCUUGUCAACUUAAAAGAUCCUUCUCGACCCAUCUGUAAGGUGUGUACAAGUAUAUAAUCGCUUUCCUUUUUGUUCUUUGCAAUAAGAGUGAUGACUAAUCACUAGCUGAUGUAUUAGUAUAUCCAAGAGCAUCUUUUCUUGACUACCUUUAAUUGAUUAUUCAUGUCAUGUUAAGAGUGUCUUUAAGCUAUAAAUUGUUUCCUUUGCCAUUCACUUUGGUGUUCACUCAUCAUGGUCAUUAGUAACAUGUUUCUGUUGGUGGAAAAUUUAUGUCACCAAGAAACGGACAAUUUAAUGUUUUGUAGGAUCAAGGAAAACUAAUAAAAGCCCUGUCAAUUUUAUUAUAGGUUGGUGAUUUUGGACUUUCAAAAAUAAAGAGAAAUACGUUGGUCACUGGUGGAGUCAGGGGAACACUUCCAUGGAUGGCCCCAGAGCUAUUGAAUGGUAGUAGUAACAAGGUUUCUGAGAAGGUAAGAUUUCAGAUAUUAAUCUUCAGGUUGACAUAUCCAAGAUUGAUACGAAAUAUAGCCUAUCUCAGGCAUCUUUGUUUCUUUCUGUGGCAUGGGGAUGGGGAAAGCAUAUUCUUGCUGAUCAACUCGAAUUUCUGUUAUUAAAAUUUCAAUCUAACCCCCUAUUAAUUUGUGAUGGGUAGGAAGUAUCUUGAUGCUUCUUCCUCUAUCUUUCUUUGGCAAUCAAGUCAAUAAGGACCUUAACUUCUCAGAUACAAGAGAUCUGAGAGAAAGUAAAUCAGAAACAUGUUCCUCUUCUAAGUGACAUUUUGAGACUUUGCAGGUUGAUGUUUUUUCCUUUGGGAUUGUGCUCUGGGAAAUUCUUACUGGCGAGGAACCUUAUGCUAAUAUGCAUUAUGGAGCUAUUAUAGGUUUGCUUUACUCAGUCCUUAUCUUACCUUUGUUUCUUGCAUUAAAGUACUGGCAUUUCUUUUGUUACUUUCUUGUCAUGAAAUAAAAAUUACUCGUUAUAUCCUUCCUUUUCUAUAAAUCUACAAGUUGCUGCUUUGAAAAUGAAACGAAUGAAUGAGGAGUGUCAAGAGGUCAUUAACAGUGGAAAAGCAGCAAUAACCAAUAUUUUAACUGGUACAAAGAAAAAUAUAGAACGUCAGAGAAAUGUAUUACAGCAAGUUUGGUGUGGUUAAUUUCAUCUCCAAAUGACACAAUGGUCGCUUUUAUAAUUUGUUCAGAAACAUUUGGUCUCAUCAAGGACCAAGAUACUAAAUGAUGUUGAUACACUUGAGAGUUAGAAUGAUACUGAUACUCUUGGUGAGAGGCACUGCAUAAAAGCAAUAAGUGAAGAAAUGUAGAAGCAUAGCAUAAGUUCAUUACUUGCUGUUUCCUUCUCAAAAAGUUCAUUACUUCCUGUUUCUACUUAUUUCGAGUUCCAUCAAUCAUCUUCUUUGGAUGCCAUGUGAAGUGUGGUUGUGAGCAUACAGUGAAAAUUUUUCUGUGGGACAUCUACUUCCGAAGGUGUUGCUCACAGUCGUUUCUAUGGUUCUCUGAUGCUUCACUAGGAGGCAGAGGAAUGGUCGUAAAAGCAUUCAUGUUUUCUGUUAACAGAGCUAGGAAAUAUAGGAACCAGAGUUGAAGUUUAGAAAUUCACGCACUCUUGCAUCAUGUGUUACAUGCAGGUGGUAUAGUCAACAACACCUUGAGACCACUUGUGCCGAGCUUCUGCGACGCUGAGU
rnacentral:lncRNA from 1 species